GCAGAAAUAUCUGUCAUGAGUUGUGAAUAUGACAGAGCUCUUGGAUGGAGUUUUACCCAUGUAUGUAGUCUUUUGGAUUUCAUUACAAAUACUAGACUCCUUGAAAAAAUUAACAGGAGGAAUCCCCAUUAUCCACAUAUUUUAUUUAAUGCCGGUUUUAAGGAGAUUCUUUUUAACAUUCUCAUAUUUUAAUAUACCAGCAAUCCUCAAACCCCUGUGCUUAUCAGACUUUCUCCAUUUGUUUUUUAUAGAAAAAGUUUACAUUUUAUGUGAAGUAAAUAUUUAAUGAAAUACUCAAUAGCCUAUAAUAAUUAAAUGACCAGUCACUAUUCUAAAUGGAUUAUACUUGAUUUACUUAAUUUGCACAAUUCUAUGAAGUGGAUACUCUUAUAUAAUCCCAUUUAUAGAUGAGUUCACAGGCUUAAUAGAGAUAUUGUCACCCAAAGUCAGUUUGUAUGUGGGUAGAGCGGGUUAAGUGAUACCACGCUUAUCUGGAGUCUAGGGUUUUGUCCACUCUUACGCUGCCUCAUAGAAUAGGUAUAAAUUGGCUAUCUAAACCAUAUUUCUGUUUGUUUGGGUUGUUUUCAUACUAUAACAACUGCUUCCAAAAGCAAUUUUAGUUUUCAUACUAAAAUAAUUGCUUCCGACCUAUUUUAAAGGUAAUUUAAAACAGGAGGUAGGUGAUUAUAUGUAUUUUGUUCUUUUAAUUCAUCUAUCAGAUUGUAAGUUCUUCUGAAACAUCUUGAAGUGUAGACUAUGAGAAAAUCACUGCACUGCUCUUUUGAAGACACUGUAUUUUGUACCUCAGGGGAGCUGCAUAUAUUUCUGAAGAGGUUCAGGGUAUCAGCCUCAGUCAGUGUGCCUCCAAUAUGGAGAAAAAUGGAAUUGAGAUCUUGUUCAGGCCAUAUCAGACCUCAUUUCAUAGUACGGUAUUUUAAUACAGGGUAGAACUGAAUAUUCAUAGAUUUAUGCAUAUUCAAAUGUAGUUUUAUAUAUUUUCCAUAUCUUCAUUGAGUUAUUCUAUCACUUCAAGAUGUACUGGAGAAUAUGAAUCUUGUGGUUACCGUCUAUAAUUCUUCGUAUUGUGUUCACAUCACUACUCUUUCUUCUACCAUCACUAAAAAGUGCCUAAAAGGGUUCUAAUUAUUUAGCUCUCUAUGAAAAUCUAGGUUAACUGCAUCUAAAAUAAAAAUCAUUAGUUAAUGGAAGUUUAUUUCAGUAUACAGGUAUACCUUUUAAAAGAUAGCAGUAAAUCACAGGAAAAUAUAGUUUAAUAUUGAAUGUUUUCUGAUUUGUUUUUGCUAAUUUUAUAUAAAACUUAUUUUAUGUUAAGAGAAUAUAUUUUCAAGACAUCAUCAUCAUAGUGAACAUUUUUUUGGCUUCAUCCUUUGUAGGCCCUGCUCCAAUAGAUUGACAGAGGUUGAAUGAGUUCAGAUUGAGCCAAAACCAUAAAACUGACAUUUAGAAUCUAUGACAUUUCACUUCUUCUGGCAACAUGUCAGGAAGUCUAUACGUUUUAGUAUUCAAUUUAUUUUUGUCUGUUAGUGAUUUAAAUAGCAAUGAUUUGUUUCUAUCGAAUUCUUGUAUUGAAAGUUGUCAGUUUAACCUUAGGUCAUAGUAAAUUCUUUGUGUCCUCCAAAAUGCAAGUAAUAAAAUUUUCAAAAUAAUUUCUAGUUUGGAAACAGCCUUAAGUUUAAAAGUUACAGCCAAUAUACAGUUAAAUCUUAUAGAGUUGAACUUUUGUUUAUUUUGUUUUGUGUUUUAAGUCUCUAAUGUAUUAUCUCCAUGAUCAAAGCCGUAAGUAAAUGACAGAUGAAUUGUAUCAAGUAGAAUGAACCUUAUUAUAGCUACUUCUCCAUAAGAGAAUACAUCUUCUGAACAAAGUGGCUAAAAUUACCUUUGUCUUUAUUGUUCCCUCUCCUCCUGGCUUUCUCUAGUCCCCAUUUUACUGCUCUUUACAUAUUGGUUGUUGAAUUAAACUUUUCAGUUAAAUCCUAUUUUAAAUAGGAGAUAUCAUCUGAUAGUUUUUAUUAGCAAAUAUUUCUUCUGCACUAUACACAUUACCUUUUAGUGUAUAUUUUUGGUAAACAUAAAAGUAUAUUUACCAAUUAGUGUCAUCAGCCAAGGGGCUUAAGUGCCUUCAAAUACAUAGUCUCCCAUAGUGUUAGCAAAAAGAAAUGUAACAAGUAUCCCUAUCUGCAAGUAGGUGACUCAGUAUCAUAAAAAGUUGGCUCAUUAAGUGAUUUGAGAAAAUAAAAUGUAUUUCAUUAAAAUAAAAGCUCCAUAGAGGUGGGGACUUAAUUUUUUUUCACUGCAUGAUUUCACUGUCUAGAAGUUUGCUUGGUAUACUGGAGGCAUUUGAUAAAUGGUGGAUAGUCGGAUAGGUAGAUAGAUGGGAGAACACAAGACUAUGAAACCAUCUAAGCAGUGAAUUCUAUAAAUAACCCCAUGAAGUCCAAAGGAUAUUAAAUAAGGAGAAAGAGUUAAAUAGCAUAGUUUAACUUCUAACUUGAUAGGAUUCAAAGCCCCAGAAAAUGGAUAGUAGCAUUUAGAUUGGGAGGAAAUGGCAAAAGCAAUAGCACAAAUGUAAGGAAGAGCUAACAAAGCAGCAGAACAAGUUCCUGUUAAUAGAACAGAGAACCAUUAAAAUGUAUUGAUAAAACAGGGCUAGAUUAUACUUUUUUUUUUUUUUAAUCUCUACACCCAACGUAUGGCUUGAACUAAACCCUGAAAUCAAUACUCACCUGCUUUUCCCAACUGAGCCAGCCAGGCAGAUUAUACUCCAAAAAUUUUAAAGCAAAAUGGAAGGUAGGGGUUAAGAGCAAAAAAAACCAGGGUUCAUGUCAUGGCUCUUCACUUUCUGGGUCAUGGGCCACUUUGAAAAUCUGGUGAAGAGACUGUCCUCAGAAAAAAAUGCACACAUGCUCACACACAUUCGUAUAUUAAUGUGGGAGAUUCAAAGACUCCUUGAACCAUCUCUAGCUCUGUUACAUCCUAAAAGUUGGGGCUGUACUUGAUUUCUGCCAGGUGGGCAGCUUCCAAUUCUCAGCACUUGGGAGUCAGAGAUGGCUCAGUACUGACUGCUCUAUUUUUUCUUGUAUUCUAAGUUUAACUCUUUUGUUAACGUUUAAAUAUGGAUUGUCCAACUUUUUUUUUUUAAUGUUUAUUUUUGAGACAGAGACAGAGUGCAAGUGGGGAAGGGGCAGAAAGAGAGGGAGACACAGAAUCUGAAACAGGCUCCAGGCUCUGAGCUGUUAGCACAGAGCCCAACGCGGGGCUCAAACCCACGAACCGUGAGAUCAUGACCUGAGCCAAAGUCGGACGCUUAACCGACCGAGCCACCUAGGCGCCCCUGGAUUGUCCAACUUUUUAAUAGUACCUUGGAUUUUUUUUCACUAACUUCCUUCAGUGUGGCUUAUUACUGUAAACACACACGCCAAAAUAAUGGAAAAUAAUUUGCCAGAUGAAUGAAUAGGGUAAUACUAUCCUAGUGUAACAACAGUUCUGCCCCUAGCUGGAGUCUGGUAGAGGAAAUGCCAGAGGAUCAAAUUCAACACACUUACAGAUACAAUUAAAGUGUAUUCAUCAAGUCAGUAUUCACACUGGUGAUUUUUGUCAUACUGAAGCUCUGAAGACAAGAACUGCUUCUACUUCAGGUUACUCCCAAAGAAUCUGUACACAUCCUAGAUCUACAGCUCCAUAAAUACUGUAAAUUGCUGUUUGCUAGGUAGUUACAACUAACCAUUAUAGAACAUUCCUAUUUUCAUUUUUCAAUAAAACUUUAUUCUGUAUCA